rnacentral:rRNA from 1 species
GCCAACUAGCUAGCCCACCCCUACAAAAACAACAAUUCAACCUAAAUAACCCCAAACACACGCCAUUCCGAUAAACAAAUCAUUCUACCACCCUAGUAUGGGCGACAGAAAAGGAACUAUUGGAGCAAUAGAGAAAGUACCGCAAGGGAAUGCUGAAAAAGAAAUGAAAUAAACCAGUGAAGCUUGAAAAAGCAGAGAUUAUUCCUCGUACCUUUGGCAUCAUG